AAAGAACGCUGGCGGCAGGCUUAACACAUGCAAGUCGAACGCCCCGCAAGGGGAGUGGCAGACGUGUGAGUAACGCGGGGGAACCUACCUUUCGGUACGGGAUAACUCGGGGAAAAUCGUGCUAAUACCGUAUAUUUCGGUAACGGGAAAGAUUUAGCGCCGAAAGACGGGCCCGCGUUAGAUUAGCUAGUUGGUGGGGUAAUGGCCUACCAAGGCGACGAUCUAUAGCUGGUCUGAGAGGAUGAUCAGCCACACUGGGACUGAGACACGGCCCAGACUCCUACGGGAGGCAGCAGUGGGGAAUCUUGGACAAUGGGGGAAACCCUGAUCCAGCCAUGCCGCGUGAGUGAUGACGGCCUUAGGGUUGUAAAGCUCUUUCACGCAUGACGAUGAUGACGGUAAUGCGAGAAGAAGCCCCGGCUAACUUCGUGCCAGCCGCCGCCGUAA
rnacentral:rRNA from 1 species